CAGAAGAUCGAAUUACUCGUCACGAGCAUCGGAGAAUGCGCGAUGUAGGCACACAGCUUCCCGUGCGCGAAACUCGAGGACAAUGAAAAGCGGGAAAUACGGGUGAAUGUAAGGCCGAAGCAAUGCCAACCGAAUCGUGAAGCCUUCGUGUGCCAACAUGUAAUUGGCUUUGAGAGUUUUGUCAUUCUAUUCCACACAUGCCAAGUCAGCCGGCGACAAAACUGUGCUAAAUUCGAGUAAAAUUGGAGACUACAAUCGACUGUUGUAAAUCCUCAUCACAAAUAACACGAGAUACAGUAAUAAUAAAGUGGAAUAAAAUAAUACGAAUGAAACAAGAUGCACACUGUGUCUGAUAUCAAUUCAACUGUGAUGUGCCGAAAAUGGAAGGGGAGGAACGAGAGGACGGAUUUACUUCGACACACAGAUCGCGCGAUUAUUUUCGACCCUGGACCGAGUUGAAAGCACAUCUGUGUAACGGUGGAACCCGGUGAACUAGGACUAUGAAUGAACAUUGGAGAAAUACACGCGCUUCUAGAAGAAUGACAAGGGAAGUACAUUAUAUGUACUUCAUAUAGCCAUGUAAGCAUAUCGAUCUGUCUGUAUUAUUAAGCAUAGUAAUAUGCGUUCGCUUAUACGUCUUUUAAAAGGCUUAGCGUGCUACUUAUCGUAUCCCAGAAAUGACGGCGUGUUGAGCAAUCGAUAUAAAUUUCCGA